UACGGAGGGGGCUAGCGUUGUUCGGAAUUACUGGGCGUAAAGGGCGCGUAGGCGGUUUACCAAGUCAGGCGUGAAAGGCCUGGGCUCAACCCGGGAACUGCGCUUGAUACUGGUUGAACUUGAGUCCGGGAGAGGAUGGCGGAAUUCCCAGUGUAGAGGUGAAAUUCGUAGAUAUUGGGAAGAACACCGGUGGCGAAGGCGGCCAUCUGGACCGGCACUGACGCUGAGGCGCGAAAGCGUGGGGAGCAAACAGGAUUAGAAACCCCCGUAGUCC
rnacentral:rRNA from 1 species